GACGAACGCUGGCGGCGUGCCUAAUACAUGCAAGUAGAACGCACAGUUUAUACCGUAGCUUGCUACACCAUAGACUGUGAGUUGCGAACGGGUGAGUAACGCGUAGGUAACCUGCCUGGUAGCGGGGGAUAACUAUUGGAAACGAUAGCUAAUACCGCAUAAUAUUAAUUAUUGCAUGAUAAUUAAUUGAAAGGUGCAAUUGCACCACUACCAGAUGGACCUGCGUUGUAUUAGCUAGUAGGUGAGGUAACGGCUCACCUAGGCGACGAUACAUAGCCGACCUGAGAGGGUGAUCGGCCACACUGGGAAUGGGACACGGCCCAGACUCCUACGGGAGGCAGCAGUAGGGAAUCUUCGGCAAUGGACGAAAGUCUGACCGAGCAACGCCGCGUGAGUGAAGAAGGUUUUCGGAUCGUAAAGCUCUGUUGUAAGAGAAGAACGGGUGUGAGAGUGGAAAGUUCACACUGUGACGGUAUCUUACCAGAAAGGGACGGCUAACUACGUG
rnacentral:rRNA from 1 species